rnacentral:rRNA from 1 species
GUGACAGCCGCCGCGGUAAUACGGGGGGAGCAAGCGUUGUUCGGAUUUACUGGGCGUAAAGGGCGGGUAGGCGGCCACUGUAAGUCGGUUGUGAAAUCUCCGGGCUUAACCCGGAAAGGUCAGCCGAUACUGCAGGGCUAGAGUGCAGAAGGGGCAACUGGAAUUCUCGGUGUAGCGGUGAAAUGCGUAGAUAUCGAGAGGAACACCUGCGGCGAAGGCGGGUUGCUGGGCUGACACUGACGCUGAACUGCGAAAGCUAGGGGGGCGAACGGGAUUAGAAACCCGGGUAGUCC